UUGAGUCUCUCGUCCCCCCCUCUCUGUUUAUCUCUCCCGCUGGCUUUGAGCAAGAACUGGAGACCUCCGUUUGUCUCUGUGAGGUUAGGAAAUCAAUCAAAGAGACUGCCUUAAUUCUCUCUAAUGAUGAUGUUGAUGGUGGCAGGGCUUGGCAAGGCGAGGUGUAGGCUCGAU